ensembl:misc_RNA Y_RNA Y RNA
GGCUGGUCCAAAGGUAGUGAGUUAUCUCAGUUGAUUGUUCACAAUCAGUUAUAGAUCAAACUCCUUGUUUCCAAUUCCUUGUUCUACUCUUUCCCCCUUCCCCCUUCUCACUACUGUGCUAGACUAGUCUAAA